rnacentral:lncRNA from 1 species
UAUAGGUUGAUAAUAGAAGAGAUACAACCUGAGACCUCGGAAUUGCCCGAUGGAAGGAUACAAGUGCAUCAAGAGAUAGACGCUGCAGUUGCAGAGCUGAUAGAACAAGAAGCCCUUGAUGAAUUAGAGCAACUGGUGGGAGCCCAACUAGAAGCCCCUGCAGAUCAGCAAAAUCCAGUUGAGCAACAUCAAGAUGAGGAUGACAAGCUGAGUUUAGAUAAUUUGUUGGAACAACAUCGUUGGGAGGGAGCUCUGCAGCGGCUGAUGCGCAUGGUCCGUAAUGGCGAAGCCAUCAAUGGCCCAGUACCUGACGCGCCACCCCAAGACAUUUAUGUUGCUCAUCCCGAGAUCGUCAUUUUGCUCAUGGCAGAAGAGUACCUAAGGCUUAUGCGUUCUGGCAAUGCUGCUGCUGCUAUGCGCUAUUAUCAUGACAAAAUUGAGAUCAUUUAUUCGGGAAAUACCGGAAGUGCCUUUGUUAACGGUGGUGUUCUGAAAGAAAUCCAGGAUUGGGUGAAUGCAAAGAGAGAUACUCCAUCGGGAAAAGAUGAAGCUACGACCCAUAUGGAGAAUACCUGCCAGGCGAUCCAUGACUAUUUGAAGCUUUAUUUUCCAGCAUACAGGCCACAGAUUGGAGGAAAAGUUAGAGGUCACCAAGUAAGCAAGGUUUGGGAGUUCGGGGAGAGGCUUGGAAAAGAUGGCGGCCGCUGCUUAGCGUGCCACAAGAAAGUGAAGGGAUUCAAUGUGACCAAACUCCAGAAUCACCUGCAAGGAUCGGUUAAAAGGCAAGGGACACAAUGCCCGGCAAUCAAUGACUACAUCCUAAGUAGGCUCGAACAGAUUUUGAAAGAAAUGAACGAAGAUCAAUAAGAACAAAUUA